rnacentral:pre_miRNA from 1 species
CUCCUACUCCCUCCGUUCCAUAAUACAUGCCUUCUAUUUGUCAAAAUAUAGAUGUAUCUAGACAUGUUUUAGUAUAUAGGUACAUCCAUUUUUGGACAAAUGAAAGUCAAGUAUUUUGGAACGAAGGGAGUAAAAU